rnacentral:rRNA from 1 species
CGAUUAUGUAUGUAAUUGGUUGGAAACGCCCGGUCCCAUUCCGAACCCGGAAGCUAAGACCCACAGCGCCGAUGGUACUGCACCCGGGAGGGUGUGGGAGAGUAGGUCACCGCCGGAACA